rnacentral:rRNA from 1 species
GAGGUUAAGCGACUAAGCGUACACGGUGGAUGCCCUGGCAGUCAGAGGCGAUGAAGGACGUGCUAAUCUGCGAUAAGCGCCGGUAAGGUGAUAUGAACCGUUAUAACCGGCGAUUUCCGAAUGGGGAAACCCAGUGUGACUCGUCACACUAUCAUUAACUGAAUCCAUAGGUUAAUGAGGCGAACCGGGGGAACUGAAACAUCUAAGUACCCCGAGGAAAAGAAAUCAACCGAGAUUCCCCCAGUAGCGGCGAGCGAACGGGGAGGAGCCCAGAGCCUGAAUCAGCAUGUGUGUUAGUGGAAGCGUCUGGAAAGGCGCGCGAUACAGGGUGACAGCCCCGUACACAAAAGCGCAUGUGCUGUGAGCUCGAUGAGUAGGGCGGGACACGUGGUAUCCUGUCUGAAUAUGGGGGGACCAUCCUCCAAGGCUAAAUACUCCUGACUGACCGAUAGUGAACCAGUACCGUGAGGGAAAGGCGAAAAGAACC